rnacentral:rRNA from 1 species
UACAUGGGGUGCAAACGUUGCUCGGAAUUAUUGGGCGUAAAGCGCACGUAGGCGGUUUGUUAAGUCGGAUGUGAAAUCCCUCGGCUCAACUGAGGAAGUGCAUCCGAAACUGGCAGGCUUGAGUACUAAAGAGGGUCGCGGAAUUCCCGGUGUAGAGGUGAAAUUCGUAGAUAUCGGGAGGAACACCGGUGGCGAAGGCGGCGACCUGGGUAGAUACUGACGCUGAGGAGCGAAAGUGUGGGGAGCGAACAGG